rnacentral:misc_RNA from 1 species
ACGAGUGACUUUAAUAACUGUUCGGCUAUUCCUGACCAAAACGCUGAGACCGUAAUGCACUAGCGGGUCGGGCGUACUAGGCCCCUUCAUCCCUUCCUAACAUAGCGUGGCCCGGGCGUACGUGGCCCCUUCAACCAGCUUACCAACCGUGGGUCGGGCGUGCUAGGCCCCUUCACCCUCACUCUGUAGCGUGGCCCGGGCGUACAAGGCCCCUUCAACC